GAUGAACGCUAGCUACAGGCUUAACACAUGCAAGUCGAGGGGAAACGAUAGAGAAAGCUUGCUUUUCUAGGCGUCGACCGGCGCACGGGUGAGUAACGCGUAUCCAACCUGCCCACCACUUGGGGAUAACCUUGCGAAAGUAAGACUAAUACCCAAUGACGUCUCUAGAAGGCAUCUGAAAGGGGAUUAAAGAUUUAUCGGUGAUGGAUGGGGAUGCGUCUGAUUAGCUUGUUGGCGGGGUAACGGCCCACCAAGGCUACGAUCAGUAGGGGUUCUGAGAGGAAGGUCCCCCACAUUGGAACUGAGACACGGUCCAAACUCCUACGGGAGGCAGCAGUGAGGAAUAUUGGUCAAUGGGCGAGAGCCUGAACCAGCCAAGUAGCGUGCAGGAUGACGGCCCUAUGGGUUGUAAACUGCUUUUAUAAGGGAAUAAAGUGAGCCUCGUGAGGCUUUUUGCAUGUACCUUAUGAAUAAGGACCGGCUAAUUCCGUG
rnacentral:rRNA from 1 species